CGCGAUUUCGUAUAAUGGUUAGUACACCAGAUUCUGAUUGCAAUAUACAAUCUUCUGGUAAUCUGGGUUCGAUUCCCAGAAUUGCGU